AGCCUGUGUCGUUAUUGUUUAAUAAAAACAGCUUGAUAUUUCAAUAUAAAAGCAAGAACGGGCUGGGAUGUGAGCAGGCGUCUCAUUAAAAGCCACUUUCCCAUUCUGCCUUCUAAGCCUCAUCAGAAUAUGAAAGGAAACGGUCCUCUAUUUUUCACUUAGGAACUAUCAGAUAGUCUAUUAUGGUCAUCCUUGAUGUAUUCCAAAAGCCAAAGUAUUCUAAAUACCAACUUUACCAGGUAUAUAGUUUCAGCAUCUUUACAUGCACACAUUCAAAUAUCUAUCCACAUAUACAAAUUAUUUUCACAAUGUGUGUCUCAAAAACCGAAUAGCUGGCGUCGUGAGGCAGAUUUGAGUGCUCCUUGGGAAAGCUGCUACAUUUGUGUGAGUAUGUAGAAGAAUAACAUGAGCUCGCCCUUUAAAAUAAAAAAUAAAAUAAAAUAAAAAAUUAAUCCCUCAGGUACAGUCCCCUUAACAGAAUCAACUUAAUUUCAUGUGACAUUGUCCUUCCCAGAACUGCAGAUUCAGUGAACGCAGCAGGUCCUGAUCUUGGUCUUUAACAGAUGGCCUCAGCAAAAUGACAGUAACAGAACCUGACAUGUGUUGUUUCAGUGAUCUCCUCUCCUCUCCGAGAAGUAUGGAAGCCUUAGAUCCCGUGUGCUCCUUCAGAUUGUUAUUUCUGGCACGCUCUUCUUGGCAUAUGUUAUGAUGAGCCAUUCAUAACAAAUUAAAUUUUCAUUAAGGUAAAAAAAAAAAACCCUUCAUAAUCCAUAAGCCUACAGUUUGUCUCAGUUCCCAAGGUAGCUUUUUCUGUGCAGAGGGACCAGUUAUACAAGUAAUUGAGUGUUGAGCUGGUUUGGAUUCAUUUUUUAAGAAUUAGCUACUUUAUAAAGAGGGAUAAGGGGAACAGAGGAGCCUGCAAUCCCAGAAAUGGAAAAUGGACAAGAUGCCAGAAAAAAAAAAAAAAAUCUGUGGCCUCAAUCUCGAAGCAUUCUACAGGGACACAACAAUCCUAGUCUCCCGGGAAACACAUCAAAGAAGCUAAACCACAAGACACCACUUGAAUGGCACCACCUGGGCUGGAUACAAAGACCAGCUGGAGCAGGCAGAAGUCCUGUACCUUUAAGAUAUCCAGAAUUGAUCCUGUGUGGCUGA
rnacentral:lncRNA from 1 species